rnacentral:lncRNA from 1 species
CUUUCUAUACAUUAUUUAUCUAUGCCUCCGGAACUCAUCUCACGACAUAAGCAUGCUCCACAAGACACAUAGGACUGUGGAAGUACAACUACUACCAUACUACUCUUCCACUCACGAUUCAGGCAUCCACAUAAAACAUGUCAUAAAGGUUGCCUCCAUGGCCUGGGAGCUCAACCUGCGGAUCAGAAAAUACUCGAGCCUGAGACCCCUGGGAACCUUAAGGACACGGGUGUGGCCUUGGACCCCUGACUGGUGGUAGUACAGGUCCCCGAAGAGGGGUGACUCCUCCUAUAGCAGGCUAGUCAACAUGAGCUGGAAGAUGGGUCCUAACAGGGUUCAACAUCUCCAAAUCUCCAUACCCUGUCUGAACUACAGGUGCCAGCUGGGUCAAAGCCGUCCACAGACGGGCACGUGUAGCAUAGAGCUCCAUGUGAAGGGCACGAGCAUCUCUGUCUCUAUUCUCCAACAUCUCAGCGAUGGACUACAGCAGCG